rnacentral:rRNA from 1 species
UCCGUAGGGAGCAAGCGUUGUCCGGAUUCACUGGGUGUAAAGGGUGCGCAGGCGGAUCGGUAAGUUAGAGGUGAAAUCUCACAGCUCAACUGUGAAACUGCCUUUGAUACUGCUGAUCUUGAGUUAGGGAGAGGUUGAUGGAAUUCCAGGUGUAGCGGUGAAAUGCGUAGAUAUCAGGAGGAACACCGGUGGCGAAGGCGGGUCUCUGGGCCGAUACUGACGCUGAGGAGCGAAAGCGUGGGGAGCGAACAGG